rnacentral:lncRNA from 13 species
AGCUCUUGGGGCUGAGAGAAGCAGAACACCGAGCUCUGAGCGCGGAGGCUUUCUGGAGAACUCUUGGAGAUAAAGUACUGGAAACGUGUACCCACAGGCAGGCCGGCAAGCCGAAUCAGACUUGUUAGUGCUACGUUGGUUGAAUGUUGAAAGCGGUUCACUGAAAGUGACAGUUUACAUUUUGGAACGAUGGAAUCGAUGCCAUUCUUUCUGACGGUGGUCCAACCCCAGGUCCAAUCACCUGUUUAAGGACAUUUUCAGCUGGUGACAAAAUAAUCCCAUUAUUAAGAGUUAAUAAUUUUAAUAUGAGGAAAAAUACUAUAACUCAACAGAAAAGGACAAACGACAAGAAAAAAAAAAAAAACACAACCGAAAAACUAAGCAAUACAGGCCGCCAGCAGAGGUAUGGUGCAUAGGCUGGGUGAUGCCACAGUAAGAAGCAACCCCCCACAACUUGAGUGGCUUAAACCGUAACGUCUGUUUCUUGCUCACACGCCAGGGCAAGCCAGAGUCCCAGGUGUUUCUUCCCAUCAAUCUAGACCAGAGGCUUUUGGAGGCUCAGUCUCAAUACAGGCUCUCAGACUGCAGGAGGACCAGGGACAGUGGAAGAAGUGAACAUUUACUGGUGGGAACUCCCUCCAGAAGCCACACACAUGGCGUUCACGCGCACCUCCUUGGCCAAGAGUCCCGCGGCCACACCCAUCCUCAGAGCAGGUGGAGAUGCGAGCUUACCUGAGCCCCGGAGGAGCAUCCAACUUCAGUGGGAACAAAGCCGGCCACCUGGAGAGAAAGUGCCAACUCAUUGCCAAAGAAAUGCAAACCGGAGCAGCCAGGAGACACCGUGUGAUUGUUUGCCAAAGUCGACAGAAGCAAAAGUGAUGGAACCUUGGCCUUUAGGUCUGGGCAGGGGUCCUGGGGCAGCCUUUGAAACCCUCUCCAACGGACACACACCCGCUGGGAGCCCCUGGACGAACUCCUGCCCCCAGGAAACCGAAACUCCCUGUGGACACCAGGACCCUCCUCCCAGAGGAAGAACAGCUGAGCUGCUCCCUGACAGAAAAAGACAGUUCCAGAACUCGGGAAGGACCUGCUCCAUCAGCCGCAGGGCCCCUUGCAGAGUGAGGAGGCGGACCUCUGCAUUUCCCAAAAGUGCCGAAGGCUGUCCCACGGUGGCUGCACAGCACUGAACCAAGCGCUGACACCUUCUGAGGCUGGCGCUGUGUGACUGAGCCAGCCGGCUGCUGACACUGCCCUGCGCUUGGUGACUCUCCAUUCCCUCCACGAGCUGGGGCUCUGCUCAGGCAAGGAAGUUGACUCCAGGGUUGGGGGAGUCAUCGGCCUGGGACUGAGUCUGGCCUCCCUCUCGCUGGCCGAGUGAGGCUGAGCCUACACACACUUGACAGCUCUGGAAAGUCAGGCGUUCAACCAGACAACCCCAAAGCCCUCCAGCCCAGCUCCACACUCAGCACCACACACAAUGCAGUGUUCACUCCAAGACUGCUGUGGCCCCCUGAUCGGCAGUUGUGCACCAGUGAUUGAGGGUUUGCAGUGGUAAGGGCCUUAAAGGUCACCCUGGCCAAUUGCUUUAUUGAUUAGAUGAGGAAACUGAGGCCCAGAGUCCAUCUCCAGCCCUCUUGUGGCCGCUUGCCUGCCCUUGUGAGCCUCCCUUCCCAGGAGUGGCAGGCUAUGAGAGGCACUCCCCAAUCUCCUCUCCAGCUGGUCUUCAGCAGCUGGACCAGAGCAGAGCUGACCCAGGAGCAAGCCUAGGUCACAGAAUUGCACAUGGUCCCCAGACCUCUGCAGCCACCACUCACUGUACCUGGAGGAAGAGUAAGACCAGUCUUCCAGAGAGCCGGGCCCUGGAGGAACCCAAGAAGAAGAUCCUGUCCCCGAGGGCCUGCCCUGCCUCGGCUUCCUUUUCCUGGGGAACCCAAGACUCCAUGCCAGGGCCUCUGGGCCAGUAUGGACCCUCUGCCUCAGCAGCAGGACAUAGCAUUCUCACUGGCCUUCAAGCCUGAGAUGCUGGGUGAGAGAGCAGAGGCACUGUGGCAGGUGGGAGCUUGCCCCAAGCUGGUACCUUUUUGUGGAAGAAUUGAGGGAGCAGACUGAGUACAAGCACCCUACCCAGCCAUGCCUUUUGUGAAGGGACUCUGCAGUGUCUCCCAUUGAGAAGGAGGGUAUGUCUCU